rnacentral:misc_RNA from 1 species
AACCUAGCACACCUGCGGUGUGUACCUGCGGAGGGAUCAUUAUCGUGGAGCUCCGGCUCCUUCGAGGGAGAACCCUUGCCUUUUCGAGCACCUGUCUGUUUCCUCGGCAGGCCCGCCUGCCAAUGGGGACCCCUUUAAACUCUUGCAAUAACCUGUACACAAUCGUCUGAACAAAACAAACAAAUCAAAACUUUCAACAAUGGAUCU